AUACCGGCCAGAGACCGAUAGCGCACAAGUAGAGUGAUCGAAAGAUGAAAAGCACUUUGAAAAGAGGGUUAAAAAGUACGUGAAAUUGUUGAAAGGGAAGCAUUUAUGACCAGACUUGGGCUUGGUUGAACAUCCGGCGUUCUCGCCGGUGCAAUCUGCCAGUCCAGGCCAGCAUCAGUUUGCCCCGGGGGACAAAGGUGGCGGGAAUGUAGCACCCUCCGGGGUGUGUUAUAGCCCGUCGCGUAAUGCCCUGGGGCGGACUGAGGAACGCGCUUCGGCUCGGAUGCUGGCGUAAUGGUCAUCAAUGACCCGUCU
rnacentral:rRNA from 1 species